rnacentral:rRNA from 1 species
AGUACUCCUACGGGGAGGCAGCAGUGGGGGAAUAUUGCACAAUGGGCGCAAGCCUGAUGCAGCCAUGCCGCGUGUGUGAAGAAGGCCUUCGGGUUGUAAAGCACUUUCAGUCGUGAGGAAGGUAGUGUAGUUAAUAGCUGCAUUAUUUGACGUUAGCGACAGAAGAAGCACCGGCUAACUCCGUGCCAGCAGCCGCGGUAAUACGGAGGGUGCGAGCGUUAAUCGGAAUUACUGGGCGUAAAGCGCAUGCAGGUGGUUUGUUAAGUUCAGAUGUGAAAGACCCGGGGCUCAACCUCGGAAUAGCAUUUGAAACUGGCAGACUAGAGUACUGUAGAGGGGGGUAGGAAUUUCAGGUGUAGCGGUGAAAUGCGUAGAGAUCUGAAGGAAUACCGGUGGCGAAGGCGGCCCCCUGGACAGAUACUGACACUCAGAUGCGAAAGCGUGGGGAGCAAACAGGAUUAGAUACCCUGGUAG